CAUAAACUUCAACUCCAACCCCUGUGACAUACCACUUGUUGCCUCGGCGGAUCAGCCCGCUCCCGGUAAAACGGGACGGCCCGCCAGAGGACCCCUAAACUCUGUUUCUAUAUGUAACUUCUGAGUAAAACCAUAAAUAAAUCAAAACUUUCAACAACGGAUCUCUUGGUUCUGGCAUCGAUGAAGAACGCAGCAAAAUGCGAUAAGUAAUGUGAAUUGCAGAAUUCAGUGAAUCAUCGAAUCUUUGAACGCACAUUGCGCCCGCCAGUAUUCUGGCGGGCAUGCCUGUUCGAGCGUCAUUUCAACCCUCAAGCACAGCUUGGUGUUGGGACUCGCGUUAAUUCGCGUUCCUCAAAUUGAUUGGCGGUCACGUCGAGCUUCCAUAGCGUAGUAGUAAAACCCUCGUUACUGGUAAUCGUCGCGGCCACGCCGUUAAACCCCAACUUCUGAAUGUUGACCUCGGAUCAGGUAGGAAUACCCGCUGAACUUAAGCAUAUCAAAAGGCGGAGGAA
rnacentral:rRNA from 1 species